ACUAGUGAGAAAUUUAUUUUCUUAUGUACAUAGGAAAGACCAAGUAACCAAUUUAUUUUCCAUCAACUAAACGAGAUCUUAAUAUAUUACUUGCACACAUUUGAUUUACAUACGUACUUCAAAAUAAUUAAAGAACGAUAUCAGAUAAUUAAAACGGAACAAAGAUAAAAUUGUCUUUCAAUUUCUUACGCUUUCUACUCAUUACGGUUGCUUCUGUUCAAGUAAUUGUACAUAUAAGAUAAGGUAUGUAGCAUACACGAUGAAUAAGACUUUGCCUUAGUUUCUUUUGGUAUAUAGGCCACGAGUAUCUCGUGGCAUCUUCACAAUAUGUUAGUUUCUAAAGCCUAUAUUGGAGGUAACUGUUUCUCCCUUUUUCUUCCUUCCUUUCCUUUCCUUUCCUUUCCUUUCCUUCAUCCAAAAGCAUAGGCUGCGUUACACAAGCACUGAUAGGCAUGCAUCGUCAGGGCUUACUCACCCUAGCACAAUUCAAACCAUUUGGGGUCAUAAAACUAAUCACAAUUCACUAUCAAAUCAAAUCUUCAUCCAAUCAAAUUGUGAACGAAGGAAAAGCAAAGACCAUUUCUCUAGUCUUGUCCAUUCAAGUCUUACGUAUGCCAUAUAAAAUAAAAAUCUGGUCAAUAAUUAGUAGCAAACCCUAAAUAAAUAGUCAAUUAGAAGCUACAUAGGCUGCUUCAUCAAGCAGCCUUUACUGUUUACUCCUUCUCUGUAUAUAACAAAGGCCGGCUACUACUCUCAAGUACUUCAUCAUCAUUCUUUCUUCUUCUUACAAAGAACACUUGCUUUCCAAACCUUCUCGAUCAUCAAACUGCUUCUCUCGGAAGAAAAAAUGGCGCUAGAGUCGAUUUCGCUGAUGGAUAGCUUAAUGAAGGUGGGGAUGUUUGUGGUUGUUCAAGCUUUGGUUUAUGUAAUCCUUUCCAGUUCAUCCAAUCUCUUCUCUGAGAACAAACCCAGGUCAUUCAACAACAGCUUCAAACUUGCUCGUUCUGCUAGCAUCAACAGUAUUCUCGCCGCCAUCUCUGACUUACCCAAUGGAUCUACUACCACCGAUCAGGACUCACCAAUAUGAUCCGCAACCGCGAAAUGUUCGAUCAAGUACAACAUACAUAUAUAUAUGCACGUUUGUCAUCUCCCUCAUUCUGCUGUAGAUGGUUCAAAUAAUCAUAUUUGUUCCUCAUUCUUUCAUUGUUUCAAUUCAGUGUAAAUAUAUUUGUUCCUCAUUCUUUCAUGGCAGUAAUGAAUCGAAGCUACGCACAUCAUAUUAAGGCUAUUCGUAAUUCGUUCGAUCGAAACCAUCAUCUUAUACAGACAAUACGUACUUACAGUAUAUGUUACAAUUAAAACAAACACUCACUAUUUAAGCAUCUUCAUCUUUAGCUUGGGGAUCUCAACGUUGGACAGGAAACGUGUUCGUUUGAGAGCCAGUCUUUAUGAGAAUAUUGUCUCUUUCUCUAUAAGGCUGGUGUGUUGGGUUUGGGCCUCCUCUUAGGCCUGACCUGGAAGCUGUUACCUUGUUUUGUUUUUAGGUUUUCCAGGUUUGGUUUGUUGGUUUCAUGAUUUUGGCUAGAUUGACCAAGUAUUUACUCAUUCGAGCUAGGGUUUGAGUGUCUCGUAGUAGCUGUUGUGCUACUUACGUGGCGUUAAGCCUUUGGGUAAUGAGUUUUCAUUUCGGUGUUGUUACCAUGAGGAUAGAUUGUCUUUGCACGUGGUCUGGUAGUUUUUAAACAUGUGUUAAAAAUGUUAAUUAACUCGGUUUUUUUGUUGGUGGCAAGAUUGUAUAGUUACAAUAGUACGUAGCUUAUUUCGAGUGUAAAAUUUGGUUAAGAGUUGAGUCAUUUUAACUCAUGAACGUUGUUUUCGGUGACGGACACGUAACUAUGAAUCAUGUGUCUUGAUGCAGUGACCACAAUUGGUUAUUUAACUUAAUGUGGUUUCACUUCGCCUCAUAUGUGAAUAAAGUGGAGACCCAAACUUCCUCGGCUUCGGGCUUUGCAUGCCUAAAUGUCAUUUUCAAAACCUAAUCCAUGAUCACAUAAGCUCAACAAACACUAAUUGCUUACAUGGACCAGGCAACAACCUGAUGAUCUAAUUAAUCCAUCUUUAACAACUUGAUCCCCAGAUCAUGAAAGCGGAUUCGAAGUCCAAACAAAUGUAAACUAGCUUUUGGCAAUCAAAUAACUGAACAAUGUGGAGAACUAAUUGAUUUAGAAAAAUAAGAACAACCAAUUAAGAGAAAGACACUUCAGUAUAAACAUGUAAAUGCAGUACCAAGUGCUAGUGUUCAUAGCAAUGAAAGUACCAUCAAAUAUCUGUAUAAAUUAACCAACUGACCGGCCAGGAAAACAAAUAAAGUAUAGCACUUGAGUUUAGUUCCAAAGUAUAUUCAUAUGGAUAAUUCUUCAACCAGUGGUAGUCUACGAAGUGGUGUUGGCCACCAUGGGAGCACCAACUGGUAGAGAUCGCCGUCCGUCCAAUAUUCAAAAUACCUGGUGCUAUCUACUUUAGACCAGCUUUCUGUACGAAUGUUGUACAUGAAAUAGCAUCUUGUUUUUCCGUAGCUUUGUACAUGAAAGAUAUCCUCAUCAUUCGGGUCCAAAGCUAGAAGAUAAGCUCCACGAUUAUAACCAUCAAGUAGUACUUCACUGUCUACAAAAUAAACACUCACUUGUUUCAUAUAUAAUUUGUCAGGUGAUCCAGUUAACUCCCAAACAUCAUUUUCAUAAGGCCAGCUACGCGCCCACAUUUGUAGACGCCCUCGACGCACAUAUAUAAACGGAUUGUCUAAAAGAUUAUUAUCAUUAACUGCAUCAAAUAGUUGAAACUGAAACUGAAACUGAUCAUCAUCAACAAUCUCAACACCAUUAGGGCUACCACUAGCAGCACUGCCAUUUCCGAUCAUAAAUGGAUCCAGCCUAAUAAUCCCGGUCUCCCCACGAGGCUCAGAUGCUUUAUAAGUCCAAUACAACAUUCCAUUGUAAGCAACGCCAGUAAUAUCUGCAAACUCAAUGUUUCGUGGGGAAGAUGCAAUCGACUCUCUCCAUUGGCCCGUCUCCAAACAGAAUACCUGAACAAUGAAUUUGCAAUGUUCAACCACCCAAAGAGACAUUGUAGCUGAAUAGUGAGGAAGAAUUCUCACAACCUUGCACCUGUAGUCCGAAUUAAUAUUAACAGCGGUACCACUAGUAGUACUAUCUUCCUCAUAGUAGGGAUCAGAAAUGAAUCCAACUGCUGCAUGCGUGCAACAUCGAGCGGUGGGAGGAAGAGCAAUCCAUUGUCUUGUGCAUGGAUUGCAAAUGUAGAAUUCACGUUGGUUUAUGUAAUAUGGAGUUCGGCAGCACAAAACUAAAUCAUUAGAUGUUCCUACCACAUAUGGCUUUUCUUCCAAUCCGUGGAAACUCAUGACUCUUUCGAAUAGCGGAUCUAGCAGAUUGGAUGACGACUGUGCCGUUCUAGGAGUGGGGAAUUCCUCUCCUCUUCUGUCCAUCAGAGUUCUUGCUAUUGGGGUUUUCUUCUGAAAUCUUUGAAUAUGUAGAAAUCGGCCAAUGAAAUACGGAUCCGAGAUGAGAUUGAGCCAAUGCUUGGAAACACAUUUGCAUUGGAAAACGAAUUCCUUGCGAGGAAGCCGACAUAGGAUUUCAACCAACAGAAGGUCUGGGAGAUCAUCAUAGCUAAAACUCAUGAUCGGAUAGCCCUGCAAAGACGAUAGCCAAAAAGAAUGCGAUACGUCGUAUGUUAUUGAACCAUGAAGAUGAUCAGAUACAUACAGGUACAAGUAGUAUAAACUGUCUGGAAAUUAGAGCACUUAUGUAAUUCAUAUAGAUAAGCCUACGUCCACAGUGUUGUAAUUGAAGGUAGAAUGGGGUCUUCAUCGAUUAUAUAGUAAAGAUGAAAUUCACGGCAGAGUUUGCAAUCGGAAAUAGAGCUCACAAAGCAAUAUAGAAUGGGAAACAUCAACUCGUACAGAGAAAAAUACAGAUAAUAUAACUGACAGAUUAAACAAAGAAUCCUACCUGUUGAUCAUAUGGGACUAAUUAAGCGAGCUCGAUUCAGAGUACGUGAUGGUUGGAGGCUAGGGUUCGGGUUUAGUGUUGCUUGAUAUUCUCCCGAGCGGCUCCACGAAAAGUGGAUUUGUCACGGGCGUUUGUUCUUAUACCUUUGGAAACCAUACCCAAUUUCACCAUUUAAUGAAUUCCUUUUACGUGCUAUUUGAUUACUUGAUAUUUUCAUAGAUUUUCUUAUGUACUUAGCAUAUUGAUCAUGUUUUUUUUUUUUUUGAAUAAAGAGUUGGUGCGGCGGCCUUCAAGCUUUCAUUAAUGAAAUUGUCAAAUACAAAAAAAAGAUGUGAAACCUGAACUCCUGAUUAUAAUAAGCAUAUUGAUCAUGUUAUGUAUGUACUAAUUUUACAAUUAGAGAAAUGAAAUUCACUCUCAUUUUAUAAUCCACACCUUAUCUUUCAUUUUUUCUAAAUAAAGUAUCGUCCUCCCACAAAAUAAAGACAUGUUUAGGUACGAAAAGAUAAAAUGUGGUGUGAAUUGUUGAGUAAAUUUUACCCCCUUGUAUUUUUUCAUAUUUUAUGGGCGUGUUUCACAUCCGCAACAUCAUCGAUUAUACUUAAAAAUUGAUAAAAGGUACUUAAUACACAAUUACACAUAGCAUAUAUUCAAUUAUUCAUAGCUAUAUGGGUAAUUUUUUAACAGUUGGUAGUCUACGAAGUGGUGUUGGCCACCAUGGGAGCACCAACCGGUAGAGAUCGCUGUCCGUCUAAUAUUCAAAAUACCUGAUGCUAUCUACUUUGACCACCAUUUUACCAAAAAAAAAAAAUCUACUUUGACCACCUUUCUGUACGAAUGUUGUACAUGAAAUAGUAUGUUAUUUUUCCGUUGCUUUGUACAUGAAAGAUAUCCUCAUCGUUCGGGUCCAAAGCUAGAAGAGCAGCUCCAUAAUUAUCAAAAUCAAUAAGCACUCCACUGGUUACUGGAUAAACACUCACUUGUUUCUUGUAGAACUUGUCAGCUGAUCCAAGAUCAUCGAUCACCAUCACUUGUUAACUCCCAGACAACGAUAUCAUAAUCCCCGGUGAUAGUACGACCACAUUUGUAGACGCCCACAUUAGCAUCAACAUGCGUUUGCCAUUGGUGUCGUCCCUCCUUUUUGGGUGAGGGUGUUAGGGUUUUGGUUUGAUUGGGGUGGUAGUUUUGAUUGGGCCAUGGUUGGUGUCAUGUUCAGGGACUAUAGGUGUUAACAUAUGUGUUUUCUUGUUGUCAAUGUAAUUGAGAGGUUGCCCCUGCAUAUAUGUUGGCAGUUUUGGUAUAUAGUGUUUGACAAUAUUGUUUCUUUUUGAGGUUGGCUGUAAGGAGGUAUCAAUGUUUCUGGAUGGGGAUAAGAGUAUGUUACAUUUGGACUCUUUUCGAUUCAUGGUCAUUGUAAUCGCCGAUAUAUGGGUAGAGAGGAGUGUGAGCCUGCCUUCUUGGGCCUCGGUUAAGACUUCUUUUGCGCUACUUCAAUCCCCACUAUGUCCAUUACAUGUUAUGGGCCGCUAAUGACUUCUAAAGUCAACUAGUGUAGUUGAGGUUGGAGUCAGCAAACUUUAACCUUAUUGCUACAGUUUAAUGGUUGUAGAUAUUUGAAGCAUUGCAAUAAUUGAGCGCUUUGGCGAUAAUAUUUUCAACUCUAGUAUCUUCUUGUAUCAAUUUGGUUAUCUUUGCUAGGCUCACUAAUAAGUGCGCAUCAAAUCCAAAUGUAAUGGUUCUAUAUAACCCUCGAGAUUAUCAUAUGUAGUCAUUCUAGCCUCUGAAUCAAGGAGUAAAAUAUCGACGAUCAUGAAAUUUUCGAUGGUUCGAAAAAAUGAAAUCUCGAUAGAUAUAUUGAGAUAAUAUCGAAUAUCGAUAGAAAUUUUACCAAAUUUUAUCUAAAAGUUGUAUAUUCGACCAAAAAUAGACUAAAUAUAAAAUAUCAGAAAAAUAUGAAAAUUAAUAUUGGUAAUUGUAAAAAAUGGAAAUUUCGAGGAAAUAUAGAGGAUAUUUUAGAUAUUUUACUCUUUGCUCCUAAUUAUCAAUGAAACUUUCAUUUUGUUAAAAAAAAAAAAAAAUCAUCUACGUAAAUUUGAAAAUGUUGAACAAAAUUUCCUUUAUAUUCAUCAAAAUCGUCCAAAUUUCCUUAUGGUACAAUGGAUUUCAUAUGGUCACAUUUUGUACUAAAGAAUAGCAAUCAAACUUCUUUCGAAAAAAUAAAUUUUAUCAAAUUCUUUUAACUUGUGUAGAGGUUUACAUAAAUAAAAUAUAACUUGCAUGUAAGAAUUGUGUAUAGACAAAUAUUUAAGGGCACAUUAUGACCUGAUAAGGGUUGAAUUGUAUGGCUACGACGUGUGGAAGGGUUGGGAAGGUUGUUGCGCUUGCUUCUCCAUGGCGUUAUGUGGACCUCUAUGGCUGGUGGCUGCGGCCAAGCGACCGUGAUGCAGCGGAUAGUGAAGAAGAUUUUCUCUUGUGAGAGAGCAGAGUGGAUGAGGAUUUUGUAAUGGCUGAUCUUGUGGAAACAAUACACUCUUGUUGCACGCUUGGUCUCUUAGCGGAAUCUUCAACCUGUGUGAGCUUGGAGAUCUCACCGUUGGACAGUAUGGGAGUUCGUUUGAGAGCCAAUCUUUAUGAGAGCCAAUCUUUAUGAGAAAUAUUAGAUGUGUCAAAUGUUUAAUGGGUUGAAAGAUCUUUAACGGUUGUGGUCUCUUUGUCUAUAAGGUUGGUGUUUGGGUUUUGGCCUCUUUUUGGGCCUAACCUAGACAUUAUUAUCUUAGGUUUGUUGGUUUCAUGUUUUUGGUUAGGUUUACCAAGUCUUUACUCAUUCGAGCUAAGGUUUGAGUGUCGCACUGGUUGGUGUGCUACUUUUGUGGCGUUAAGCCUUUUGGGUAUGAGUUAUCGUUUAGGUGUUGUCUGGUUAUCAAC
rnacentral:lncRNA from 1 species